GGUUGUGCAGUUUUUGAUUAUUAUGAAAAAAGCUUCUAUGAACUUGCUCAUAAUGUCUUUGGGUGGGCAUGUGACUUUAUUUCUCUUCAGUAUAUACCUAGUAGUGAAAUUGCCAUAAUUUAGGUGAAUAUUAAACUUUAGUAGAUAUGAGCUGCUGUGAUCUAAAUGUUGGUGUCCCACUGAAAUUCAUGUAUUGAAACAUAAUCGUCAGUGUGAUAGUAUUAAGAGGUGGGGCCUUUGUAAGGUAGUGAUGUUCUAAGAUAAGGGUGGAGCCCUCACAAAUGGGAUUAAUGCCCUUAGCAAAUUGAUUUGAGGGAGUCCUUUUGCCCAUUCCGCUGUGUGAGGACACAUAGAAGGUGCCAUCUAUAAGGAACGGGCCCUCACCAGACACCAAAUCUGCUGGUGCUUUAUCUUGGAUCUCUCAGCCUCCAGAGCUAUGAGCAAUACAUUUCUAUUGUUAUAAAUUAACAAAUCUAUGGGAUUUUGUCAUAACACCAGCAAGAGACUAAGACAUAGACAUUUGCUUUUUACAGGGAAUGCUUCACAAGGUCAGAGACUCAGGUCCUCUUAUUCUCUGCUAUGUCCCCAGAAUCCACAGCCAUACCUGACUCAAAGUCAGUGCUAAUAAGUCAUUUUUGAGUAAAUUAAUAGGUCUGUAUCUUGGGUAUCCUGGUUCUUGGCUUUGUAUUAGGGCUAUUGUUUCAGUGAAUAGAGAAGUCAGAACCUCUCUCCCUGCAUCCAGAAUUCCUCUUUUGAAACAAGUAUCUUAUAAUACCUCCUUAAAUGUCUUGAAGUGAAGUUCACAGAUAAUACAACCUGUUUACACAUGUGUUUUAUUGUUAAUAUUGUAUCCUAACCAUUCUACAAAGGAAAACUAUAAAGAAAAUAAUUUAUAAUAAGGUAAUGAGUGUUUCAAUAUACAAAUAACUGGGGAAUACUACACUCAAAGGCCCCAUGAAAUACACAGACAUUUGUGACUGUAUCCAUAAUCAGUACAAAUGCAAAGUGAGAGGGGAUGAUCUGCUAAUGCAUAUCAUGUUUUGCACUGUUGUUGGUGAUAUGAUUUACCAAAUAGUGACCAACUCCUGGUAAAAUUUAUCAUAAAAUAAAGUACAAUCUUUCUUCAAUUGACCCUGGAAAAUUCACUGGAUAUUAAAUGGUAUAAUAAUGUUUUGUUUUUAGAUGUAAAAUGGAGCAAGGUUCUAGGUUCACAUAACUUUUUCAAUUACACAAAUAUCUUGUGGGAUAUGUAGGGCAUCUACUCACCCUGGUCCUCAACCAUGAAAUCUAUUGAGUGCCCUCUCAUCAUAGCACCAACUAUCCUCACAGUUUUCCAAAAUAUCCUUGGGUGUGGUGCCACCUCUGCAGAAACCCUGAUUCUAACUCAGCUCUCUCAUUUUACAGAUGAAAGAAUCAUCCCUUUGGGGAGGGAAGAAUUACUUGCUGGAAAACAUAGGGAUUCAAACAUAAAGCCUGAACCAGGACCACAGACUUCUGACUCCUUAGGCUCAAUCCCAGUUGUAUCCAUCACAGCAAUUGAAGCCAAGGAUUAGAGUCAGAUGAGACUCAGGAUUUAGAAGGCAAAACAAACAAACACACAAAUAAAAAGGGGAUUAAUUUUGGACCUUCAUGAAUGGUGCCAAAGUGGAAAAAAAAAAAGGAGCUGCCUGGCAAUGGUCGCAGGUGAAGGUAAUGGUGAAGAAGAUGCAGAUAUUGGCAAUUUGGAGGAUUCGAUGAACUAAUGACAACAUUAACCUAAAUACCAGUGGAAGGUCUGAGGAUCUGGGAUCUUGGAGGUGGAGGAUGUUUACUCAUGGUGCCUGAGUGAUGGAUGCUUUUUCAAAGAGUUUGUAGAAUUCAAUCCUCGUGAGCACAAUUGGAUUUGAAAUAUACUUUGAUCUUGGAAUGGAGAUACAGGUCUGGGAGGAGAAAGGCUGGCUGCAUCGAUGGGGUUGAACAAUAGGAUUUGACAUCCUGAGCAAAGGAGGAGAUGGUGAUGGCUUCUUGGGCUGGCUACAUCACUGAAGAUGAAGAAUACACUUUCCCCCUGAAGUCUAGCUGACCAAACAUGCAUGGAUAUGAAAUAAAUAUGGAUGGUAUUGUAGGAGGAAUUGUGUUCCCCAAGAUAAUAUGUUGUAGUCCUAACCCUGGAACCUGUGAAUGUGACUUUAUUUGGAAAUAGGGUCUUCACAGAUGUAAUUAGUUAAGAAGAGAUUAUACUGAGUUAAUGAAGCUGUAAGUCCAAUAACUGGUGUCUUUAUAAGAAGGCCAUGUAAAAACAGAGACACACAGGGAGAGCACUAUAUGAAGAUGGAGGCAAAAAUUGGGGUGAUGCAUCUAUUAGUUUGGUACAAAAGUAACUGCAUUUUUUGCCAUUGCUUUCAAACACCAGAAGCAAACACCAGAAGCCAGAAGAGAGGCGUGGAACAGAUUGUCCCUCAGCGCCUGAAGAAGGAAACAAGCUUGCUGAUAUCUUGAUUUUGUACUUCUGGCUUUCAGAACAGUGAGAGAAUACAGUUUUGUAAUUUUAAGCCACCAAGUUUGUGGAACUUUGUUACGACAGCCCUAGGAAACUAGUACAGAUGGGAAGGAAGAAGCAUUCAUGGAAAUAAUUGAUUUGGAUGAUAAUAAGUAUGACUUAGAGAGAAGAAUAGAGACGCAGAAUGUGUCUUGGGACAUACAGGAAAGAAUAAAUUUAGAGGAAGAUAGAAAUUUUGGUCUUAGAAUCUUCACCCAAUUUGCUAGGGCAUAAUAUAUAAAAUAAAGUAAUGAGAAAAGGUGGUGGGUGUGAUAUUUCAAAGUCACCAAAAAGUGGGCUAGAAAUUGCUAUUUGGUAUAAACAUAAACAAGAAGAAUAUACCUGUUACAUGGGGAGGGAAUUUGUGUUAACAACAACAACAAAAGACAGAUUUAUGAAAAUCAGAGGUCCUGAGAGGGGAAUCAGGCCAGCAAACUUAGGGUGAGGAUAUAAAUAAAAAUGAAUUGAAGUGAUGUUCUUAAAGGUAUAA